rnacentral:rRNA from 1 species
GUUCUCCUAUACGCAUACCAUGCAGUCGAACGAUGAACCACCUUCGGGUGGGGAUUAGUGGCGAACGGGUGAGUAACACGUGGGCAAUCUGCCCUGCACUCUGGGACAAGCCCUGGAAACGGGGUCUAAUACCGGAUACUGAUCCUCGCGGGCAUCUGCGAGGUUCGAAAGCUCCGGCGGUGCAGGAUGAGCCCGCGGCCUAUCAGCUUGUUGGUGAGGUAAUGGCUCACCAAGGCGACGACGGGUAGCCGGCCUGAGAGGGCGACCGGCCACACUGGGACUGAGACACGGCCCAGACUCCUACGGGAGGCAGCAGUGGGGAAUAUUGCACAAUGGGCGAAAGCCUGAUGCAGCGACGCCGCGUGAGGGAUGACGGCCUUCGGGUUGUAAACCUCUUUCAGCAGGGAAGAAGCGAAAGUGACGGUACCUGCAGAAGAAGCGCCGGCUAACUACGUGCCAGCAGCCGCGGUAAUACGUAGGGCGCAAGCGUUGUCCGGAAUUAUUGGGCGUAAAGAGCUCGUAGGCGGCUUGUCACGUCGGUUGUGAAAGCCCGGGGCUUAACCCCGGGUCUGCAGUCGAUACGGGCAGGCUAGAGUUCGGUAGGGGAGAUCGGAAUUCCUGGUGUAGCGGUGAAAUGCGCAGAUAUCAGGAGGAACACCGGUGGCGAAGGCGGAUCUCUGGGCCGAUACUGACGCUGAGGAGCGAAAGCGUGGGGAGCGAACAGGAUUAGAUACCCUGGUAGUCCACGCCGUAAACGGUGGGCACUAGGUGUGGGCAACAUUCCACGUUGUCCGUGCCGCAGCUAACGCAUUAAGUGCCCCGCCUGGGGAGUACGGCCGCAAGGCUAAAACUCAAGGAUUUGACGGGGGCCCGCACAAGCGGCGGAGCAUGUGGUUAAUUCGACGCAACGCGAAGAACCUUACCAGGCUUGACAUACACCCGAAAAACUCUGGAGACAGGUUCCCCUUUGUGUCGGUGUACAGGUGUGCAUGCUGUCGUCAGCUCGUGUCGAGAGAUGUUGGGUUAAGU